rnacentral:lncRNA from 1 species
ACGGGAAAAAAUCUGAUCCCAUUAUCAUGAUUUACGAAUCAUGAAAAUUAUAAAUUGCUCUUGGGACGAAAUCAUGAUUCAGACUCAUGAUUUUUGAAGCAGAGCUACCACUAUCAUGAUUCAGAGCAACCAUUUUCAUGAGCUCCAAAUCAUGACCAUGAAAAGCGUUACGCACACGGUGCACCUGUCAAAACGUGUUUAGCAAAGCUUGUGCAAAGCAUAGUUGGCUGCGCAUUCACGGAAAAGUUGCCCUUUUUAUAAAAAAAAAGUUCACUUUUAUUGCCGGUUUCCUGCGCCGCUGUUGCUCUACUGUCGUUCCUGCUCUACUAUUCCGUUCCUGCUCCGUUGAUAUCGAGCUUUUCCGGCUCUGCAGAACUACCGCCGUUUCAUUCUGUUCCUUUCCUGCCGUGGCUGUUGCCCGUUCCGGCUCCUGUGUACCCGUUCCGGCUCCGCAUUGAGGGAAAAUUCUUCCGGCUCCGCUCUACUAACUACCGCCGUUUUAUUGUCCCAGUGCCACUGUCACCAUUCCCGCCGCGGCUGUUGCCGUCCAAUAGGUGCAUCCGUUCCGGCUCCGCAUUGAGUGACCAGCUCCGCCCUACCAACUACCGCUCCCGAUUUUGUUGCCGUUCCGGACGUUUUGUUUUCAAUCUUGGCUGGUUCCGCCCAGUAGGUGUUCCCGUUCCGACUUCCCCCACAACUACCGAACGCAGGUGAUAUAGAAGGGAGGAUCGAGCGGUGACUGAACCAUCUCCGCGAAAAAUUUGGGGAAUCAUCGCUACAACCUCAAAUUGUCGCAGUGGGCACGAGCAACUCAACAAAAGCAACGAUGAUUAUUUUUGGCGGCGCGG